rnacentral:tRNA from 1 species
AGGCUGAGGUCCGCUGGUUUGGGCGCCUAGUUGUUAAUUAGUUUUUUACGGGAUCGAGGCCCGUCGGUCUAU